rnacentral:rRNA from 1 species
UUUCCGGUUGAUCCCGCCGGACCUGACUGCUAUCGGAUUGAUACUAAGCCAUGCGAGUCUUUGUAGUAAUACAAGGCAGACGGCUCAGUAACACGUAGUCAACCUACCCUAUGGACAAGAAUAAUCUCGGGAAACUGGGCAUAAUUCUUGAUAGAUCAUAAUGCCUGGAAUGGUUUAUGGUUAAAAUGAUUCGUCGCCAUAGGAUGGGACUGCGGCCUAUCAGCUUGUUGGUGAGGUAAUGGCCCACCAAGGCGAUUACAGGUACGGGCUCUGAGAGGAGAAGCCCGGAGAUGGGUACUGAGACACGGACCCAGGCCCUAUGGGGCGCAGCAGGCGAGAAAACUUUGCAAUGUGCGAAAGCACGACAAGGUUAAUCCGAGUGAUUUCUGCUAAAGAAAUCUUUUGCCAGUCAUAAAACCACUGGUGAAUAAGGGGUGGGCAAGUUCUGGUGUCAGCCGCCGCGGUAAAACCAGCACCUCAAGUGGUCAGGAUGAUUAUUGGGCCUAAAGCAUCCGUAGCCGGCUUUGUUAGUUUUCGGUUAAAUCCAUGUGCUCAACGCAUGGGCUGCCGAAAAUACUGCAUAGCUAGGGAGUGGGAGAGGUAGACGGUACUCAGUAGGAAGGGGUAAAAUCCUUCGAUCUAUUGAUGACCACCUGUGGCGAAGGCGGUCUACCAGAACACGUUCGACGGUGAGGGAUGAAAGCUGGGGGAGCAAACCGGAUUAGAUACCCGGGUAGUCCCAGCUGUAAACGAUGCAGACUCGAUGAUGCAUUGGCAUAAUAGCCAGUGCAGUGUCGCAGGGAAGCCGUUAAGUCUGCCGCCUGGGAAGUACGUACGCAAGUAUGAAACUUAAAGGAAUUGGCGGGGGAGCACCACAAGGGGUGAAGCCUGCGGUUCAAUUGGAUUCAACGCCGGG